rnacentral:lncRNA from 1 species
ACCACUGUAGCCCCAGAUGUAUUUCUGAAUGUUCCUUAGUGAUAUUCUUAAUGAUUUGAUUAAUUAAUUAUAAAUUUAUUCACGAUUUCAGUUCAUAUUAAACGUUUUUGGAUUAACCAAAAUGUACUUAAAUUUAUAAGAACCGUCAUCCGGGCUUAUAUUGGAGCACUUUUGUUGUGUAAAUUUUGGACACUGAUUUCAGCAACAAUUCUUGAGUUUGCUUUUAGUUUUCUUUCUGUUUUGUUUCUGACGAUCGCUUUCGAGAAAUUUUGUAUUUCAUGUUUUAAAAUUCGGAGUGUUUUGAAUGAACGGUAUGCUAAGCUGAUAUUAAGAUUAUCUGUUAAGCAUCACUAGCAGCCAUGGAAUGUUGAACGCACUUUGAAAAUGUGGUUGGUGCAGUUGCCUUACUUAUUGAACAUAAGCUGUGGAUGGAAAAAGAUCAGCAGAGCUGAAA